rnacentral:sRNA from 1 species
UCUGAAGCAGGCGAGCGCGCGCAGUUAC